CAUCAUCCUUCAGCAUGGGGCGGUGGGUUCCCCUUCCAAAAUUAUUAUUCAGCUAUCACAGGCCUGUGGCAGCUGUACUUUACCCGCUGGGGUCUUAUGUGCUCUUCCUCGGAGAUGUCUUCUCUCCAGUCAACAUUCAGUGUAUAAGUAAGAAAUGGAUGUACGUACCAUUGCCAUGGAGCUGCAAAAUAAAUUGUUGAAAUUCCAUAUCUAAAAGUGAUCCUAUACAAGUUAUUGCUUCUAAUGGGAAUUGCUUCCUACGAAGUGCCGAGUAAUCACCAGAAUAAUCUUCAAUCGUUCCUCUGUUGGACUUGAUUUCGUAUUCAAGAUUUGCAAACAGGAUUCUGCCGACCAUGCCGGUCCCAUCCUUGAGGAUCCAAGUGACUGCAGCGCUGAGAGGUGUCGCCGUGCUGCUGCCCACACCCACGCCUUUCAUUAUCGACUGCGUAGCCAGUGUGCCAGAUAGUG